UGGCGAUACUAUACUGGUAACGUAUGGAUCCGAAGCCUCUUGAAGGUCAACAUAGGCUCUCCAUACCCUACUUCGAGUCAAUACGUCCCCGGCGUAUAGAACGGUAACAUGUCUCUCCAAAUAUCUGAGCUUGGAAAGAUGAGUGAUAUGGCUAAAUUGAGCGGA
rnacentral:ribozyme from 1 species